rnacentral:tRNA from 1 species
GCCCCGGUAGUAUAGCCCGGUCAAACACAAAGUGUCGAGAGUAUGCCGGCCUUUCGAGUCGGCGACCCGGGUUCGAAUCCCGGCCGGGGCA